rnacentral:lncRNA from 1 species
UUUUUUUUUUGUUUUGAAAAUAGUUGAAGUCUCUCCUUUAUAAAUGAACUGCUAUUGUAUUUAAGGAUACUUUGAAUGAAUGAUCCCCCAAUACAUGCUGCGACAAUUUCAAACAAUUCAGGACAAAGAAAGGACAAUAACGUUUCGUUUUCCUUGAUAAAUUCUCCGUUUAACGACAUAAAUGUCAUUUGUAACGCAUGUUCUGAGG